UCUUAGGGUUGUAAAGUUCUUUUAUCUGGGGACAAAAGUUAAUGGCUAAUAACUAUUAAUGCUGAGGGUACCAGAAGAAUAAGCACCGGCUAACUACGUGC
rnacentral:rRNA from 1 species